rnacentral:rRNA from 1 species
CCCCGGUAAACGGCGGCCGUAACUAUAACGGUCCUAAGGUAGCGAAAUUCCUUGUCGGGUAAGUUCCGACCUGCACGAAUGGCGUAAUGAUGGCCACGCUGUCUCCACCCGAGACUCAGUGAAAUUGAAAUCGCUGUGAAGAUGCAGUGUACCCGCGGCUAGACGGAAAGACCCCGUGAACCUUUACUACAGCUUGGCACUGAACAUUGAACCUACAUGUGUAGGAUAGGUGGGAGGCUUUGAAGACGUGACGCCAGUUGCGUUGGAGCCGUCCUUGAAAUACCACCCUUGUAUGUUUGAUGUUCUAACGUUGGCCCCUAAUCGGGGUUGCGGACAGUGCCUGGUGGGUAGUUUGACUGGGGCGGUCUCCUCCCAAAGAGUAACGGAGGAGCACGAAGGUGGGCUAAUCACGGUUGGACAUCGUGAGGUUAGUGCAAUGGCAUAAGCCCGCUUAACUGCGAGAAUGACGGUUCGAGCAGGUGCGAAAGCAGGUCAUAGUGAUCCGGUGGUUCUGAAUGGAAGGGCCAUCGCUCAACGGAUAAAAGGUACUCCGGGGAUAACAGGCUGAUACCGCCCAAGAGUUCAUAUCGACGGCGGUGUUUGGCACCUCGAUGUCGGCUCAUCACAUCCUGGGGCUGAAGUCGGUCCCAAGGGUAUGGCUGUUCGCCAUUUAAAGUGGUACGCGAGCUGGGUUUAGAACGUCGUGAGACAGUUCGGUCCCUAUCUGCCGUGGGCGUUGGAAGAUUGAAGGGGGCUGCUCCUAGUACGAGAGGACCGGAGUGGACGAACCUCUGGUGUUCGGGUUGUGUCGCCAGACGCAUUGCCCGGUAGCUAAGUUCGGAAUCGAUAACCGCUGAAAGCAUCUAAGCGGGAAGCGAGCCCUGAGAUGAGUCUUCCCUGAUACUUUAAGUAUCCUAAAGGGUUGUUCGAGACUAGAACGUUGAUAGGCAGGGUGUGUAAGCGCUGUGAGGCGUUGAGCUAACCUGUACUAAUUGCCCGUGAGGCUUAACCAUACAACACCCAAAGGGUUUUG